AUAUGUUGGAGUCCUGACCUCAGAAUGUGGUUGUAUUUGGAGAGAGCUCUUGGGGUGUUUUUUUUUCAGCUUUAUUGAGAUAUAAUUGACAUAGGACAUUGUGAAAAUUUAAGAUAUACAACAUGCAAAUUGAAUACAUUUAUGUAUCGCAGUACGAUUACCCUCACAGCGCUAACCUUCAUCACAUCGCGUAAUUACUGUUCCUUUUUUGUGCUGAGAACGUUUAAGGUCUACUCUCUUAGCAACUUGGAAGCAUAGAAUGCAGUAUUGUUAGCUGGAAUCACAAUGCUGUGCAUCCGAUCCUCAGAAGGUGUUUGUUCACCUUCCAAGUGGGAGCUGGUGCCCUUUUACCCGUCUCCCCACUUCCCCUCACCCCCAGCUCCUGGUAACCAUCAUUCUGCCCUCCAUUUCUACGAGUUUGGCUUUUUUAGAUCCUGUGCAUGGGACGUGACAUGCAGUAUUCGUCAUCCUCCGUCUGAUGUAUUUCGCGUAGCGUUAUGCCCACAGAGGUCCGCUCCCGGGUGCCCGCAGCAUUUUUGCACCAUAACCCAGCUAUGGAAACGUCCCAGGUGCCUGUCAGCGGGCAAAUGCAUAAAGCAGAUGUGGUAUAAAUAUACAAUGGUGUGUUAUUCAUCCACAAAGUGAAGGAAAUCCUGCCGCUUGGGACAUCACAAAGAUAAGGUCCUUACAGAGAUAAAGGAAGCCGGAUAGGCUUCGCUCAGCAAGCAAGCCGGUGGGGGAGACAGAGAAGGUGACAUCGGAGUCCUAAUCUUCCUGCCCAACGCCUGGGCCAUCUGAAUAAGAGAUGCUGGGAAAUCAGGAAACCUGACUUUAAGUCCUGGCUCUGGUUAAGCACUGAAUUACCGUCCAUCAGCACUGUGGUCCAUCAGCGGGGUCCAGGAUCGCUGCUGAUGGCUGGACGCUCGCCUCCUCCCUGCCCUUCUCCGUGACGCGCACACCCCCCUCAAAAUGACAUGCCGUGGUGCGCACGUGCAGCAAACAAAUGUGACUGUCUUUCUUGCCUGGUUGAUCCCAUAAUCAGUGGUCACGGGGAACUUGGGCUCCCCAGCAAGCCCACCAGUCACGGUUGGCUCCGUCUGACCUGCUCCUCGGGGCUUGGCCCGGCUCUUUCUGGAGCUCGCUCCGUCUGCCCAGGAAAUGUCUACACGUCCCCAGAUAACGGAAGGCCCCGGCUGAAGAGGGACAAGGUCACAGCAAAGCAGGCCAGAAGCACAAGUGUAUUAACUUGCCUUCAAAACUGUGUUCUCCUAUAAUUUAGAAAAGGAUCGCGUUCUUCAGAGGGUUCAAAAAGCCUGGCACAGAGAAGAUCUAUAAGUUUUGCAGGUGAAAUGAACCCGCAUUUCAUGAAUUUACACAUGUGGAGAGGAUACGAACCCAGGUCACAGGACACUGCCUGUGGUCUCUAAAUACUUGUGUUCUUUGAGAAAGAACACAUUCCGUGAAAAUAUUGUUUACCACCGUUGGCACUUUAUGUUAUGUUUCAUUGCCAAAUUACUUCUCACAACAGUUGUAAUUAUCCAUAUACCAAAGGGAAGAGGAGCUAGUUUUUUUUUUUUAAUUUUUUUUAACGUUUAUUUAUUUUUGAGAGAGAGAGAAAGUUUUC